rnacentral:rRNA from 1 species
ACGAGUGGCGGACGGGUGAGUAAUGUCUGGGAAACUGCCUGAUGGAGGGGGAUAACUACUGGAAACGGUAGCUAAUACCGCAUAACGUCGCAAGACCAAAGAGGGGGACCUUCGGGCCUCUUGCCAUCGGAUGUGCCCAGAUGGGAUUAGCUUGUUGGUGGGGUAACGGCUCACCAAGGCGACGAUCCCUAGCUGGUCUGAGAGGAUGACCAGCCACACUGGAACUGAGACACGGUCCAGACUCCUACGGGAGGCAGCAGUGGGGAAUAUUGCACAAUGGGCGCAAGCCUGAUGCAGCCAUGCCGCGUGUAUGAAGAAGGCCUUCGGGUUGUAAAGUACUUUCAGCGGGGAGGAAGGGAGUAAAGUUAAUACCUUUGCUCAUUGACGUUACCCGCAGAAGAAGCACCGGCUAACUCCGUGCCAGCAGCCGCGGUAAUACGGAGGGUGCAAGCGUUAAUCGGAAUUACUGGGCGUAAAGCGCACGCAGGCGGUUUGUUAAGUCAGAUGUGAAAUCCCCGGGCUCAACCUGGGAACUGCAUCUGAUACUGGCAAGCUUGAGUCUCGUAGAGGGGGGUAGAAUUCCAGGUGUAGCGGUGAAAUGCG